rnacentral:rRNA from 1 species
GAUGAACGCUGGCGGCGUGCCUAAUACAUGCAAGUCGAGCGAACGGACGAGAAGCUUGCUUCUCUGAUGUUAGCGGCGGACGGGUGAGUAACACGUGGAUAACCUACCUAUAAGACUGGGAUAACUUCGGGAAACCGGAGCUAAUACCGGAUGAUAUUUUGAACCGCAUGGUUCAAAAGUGAAAGACGGUCUUGCUGUCACUUAUAGAUGGAUCCGCGCUGCAUUAGCUAGUUGGUAAGGUAACGGCUUACCAAGGCAACGAUGCAUAGCCGACCUGAGAGGGUGAUCGGCCACACUGGAACUGAGACACGGUCCAGACUCCUACGGGAGGCAGCAGUAGGGAAUCUUCCGCAAAGGGCGAAAGCCUGACGGAGCAACGCCGCGUGAGUGAUGAAGGUCUUCGGAUCGUAAAACUUUGUUAUUAGGGAAGAACAUAUGUGUAAGUAACUGUGCACAUCUUGACGGUACCUAAUCAGAAAGCCACGGCUAACUACGUG